rnacentral:tRNA from 42 species
CGGGAUGUAGCUCAGCUUGGUAGAGCACCACGUUCGGGACGUGGGGGUCGUGGGUUCGAAUCCCGCCAUCCCGA